rnacentral:rRNA from 1 species
AUUGAACGCUGGCGGCGUGCCCAACACAUGCAAGUCGAGCGGUAACAGGUGGUAGCAAUACAUGCUGACGAGCGGCGAACGGGUGAGUAAUGCUUCGGAAUCUGCCCAUGUAGUGGGGAAUAACCAGCCGAAAGGUUGGCUAAUACCGCAUACGACCCUUGCCCACAAGGCAAAGGUGAAAGCAGGGGAUCGCAAGACCUUGCGCUAUUGGAUGAGCCGAAGUCGGAUUAGCUAGUUGGUAGGGUAACGGCCUACCAAGGCGACGAUCCGUAGCUGGUCUGAGAGGACGACCAGCCACACUGGGACUGA